rnacentral:misc_RNA from 1 species
GAUGAAGAACGUAGCGAAAUGCGAUAAGUAAUGUGAAUUGCAGAAUUCAGUGAAUCAUCGAAUCUUUGAACGCACAUUGCGCCCGCCAGUAUUCUGGCGGGCAUGCCUGUUCGAGCGUCAAUUCAACCAUCAAGCCCCAGGCUUGUGUUGGGGACCUGCGGCUGCCGCAGGCCCUGAAAACCAGUGGCGGGCUCGCUGUCACACCGGGCGUAGUAGAUUUUAUCUCGCUCAGGGCGUGCUGCGGGUUCCGGCCGUUAAAAAGCCUUUUUUACCCAAGGUUGACCUCGGAUCAGGUAGGAAGACCCGCUGAACUUAAGCAUAUCAAUAAGCGGAGGA